UGAACAUUCAAAGGAGGUGCAGGUUCAUCUCUUGUGGUUUCAAGAGAGGUGUCUUCGAAACUUUUUCAAAUUGUUUUUCUGUGAUUAUUAUUUGUAAUUGUUUUGUGAUAGUGGAAAGUCUAUCUGUGCAAAUUUUUCUGUACCUUACUGUUGUCAUUUAUAUUUAUUAUCUACUAAGUAAGAAAAUUGAGAAGAAAUUUUAAAAGGCGCACACUUUAAUUAAAGAACCAAUUCACCCCCCUCUUGGUUUAUUGUUCCAUGUUAAACAU
rnacentral:lncRNA from 1 species